rnacentral:tRNA from 1 species
GAUCUCGUAGCUCAGCUGGCAGAGCAUCUGACUUUUAAUCAGAGGGUCCUGGGUUCGAUUCCCAGCGAGAUCA